CUGAGAGACACCAGCAGAGGAUGGCAGUGGCAUCUGGAGGAGGAUUGGAGCUAGCUGAAAGAAGUCCUGCAGAGGGACGCUAGCAGUGGAGCUGCACCUUGGUAGUCAGAUACAUCAUAGGAACUGGUGAUGGAAGCUUCCCAAUGCCUCUCACUACAGUCUAUCAACCCUCACCUCGAGGGACUAUGGAAAUGAUCCAAUACAGUGAAAUCAACAGGAGCCUUUCCAUUGCAUUCCAUGGGCACUGGAUCAAACCUUACGACAAAACAUCCAAACUACAGACAGACCGUGGGCUUGAUGUAUUGUGGCAUCUAUGUUGAUACAUACUAUCUGAUGAUCUUGCCUACAUAUGAAUAUCAAUCCCCUUUAUGGGGUGCCUUUUGUGAUACAAGCAAGGCUGCAGUGCUACUUGCAGUGAAUAGCUUGCUUUCUUCAAGCCACGAGAAACUGUCACAUCUGCCAACCUUCAGCAAACUGAGCAGGGACUGUUGUUCAUUUUAGUGCCAACUGCAUUAUAUUUAUCCUGGUUAUAAUAUUCUCUAUUACCACUGAAAAUAUUUGGCUCCCAAAAGAAAAAAAGAAGGAAUUGUGUCAAAGGUCCAAAUUCCUCCCUGAGAUGUGACUCAUUUUCAGUGACUUUAAUGGGAGCUGUACACAUGGCUUUCUAGGUGGAAUCUGACUCCAAAGCCCAUCCGUCUACACUGGAUUUUUUCAGCAGGUCUUUUUCAUAUUAGUGUAUUAAACAUACUUUAAUCUCAAUGGACUGAAUCUUUGGGCCCUUUUGCAUCUGCUUUGGAUGGUGGUGACAUGCAAAGGAACUGAAGAACUGCACUAAAGGGAAGGCUGAGAAUUUCUUCUGACGGGGAAUCCUCAAGUGGCGCAAACCCGGUAUAGCUGGUUCUAGAUCUCCUGCUCGCUCUCUGCCACAUCGGAGCCUGUUGGAGUAGUGUCUGGUGUUCCAUUAGAUCUGCAGCUAUCCUAACUCAGAACAUCUUCAGGCUGUUCUAAGAAACACUAAGAAUUGUUUUGGUCCCUGACUAGGGCGACCAGAUGUACUAUUUUUAUAGGGACAGUCCCGUUUUUUGGGACUUUUUCUUAUAUAGACACCUACUACCCUCCACCCCCUGUCCCGUUUUUUCACAGUUGCUAUCUGGUCACCCUAUCCCUGACUGGCCUGGGAUCAGGGGUGCAAAAAGGUGACUUAUAGCCACCUAUCUUCCAACUCCAUGGCCACAAUGAGUGCAUGGACAUAGACAAAACUCUAGUCCCGUUUUCCACCCCUCUCCCCGACCCCCAAAAAUAAAAAAAAAGUUGUCUGUGCCUAUGGAGUGUGAACUUGGAGCAUCUGAGACACGGCUCCAACUGCUGCUACAUUGGUUGCUAACAUGAUUUGAUAGUUCAGUUGUGUUGAAAACAUAAUUGAAAAGCCUGGGGAGAUAUGGUCUUAAAUGUUCUGUGGACUACAUUCUGAUGCCCUUAUAAUAUUGAGUAACACUUUACCCUCCAAUUAGUCCCAUUGGUUACUAUGAAGCUGCUCAGAGAGUAAGAUACUACUCAAUGUAAGUAAGGUAUCAGAUUCUGGCCCUUUCUGUUUUCAAAUAUAAAUAGUUCCUGGGUUCCCUUAAUUGAUAACUAGUGGCUUCACUGAUGCUUGCUGCCAUCUAGCAUUUGCAUCUCCCAGUGUGCAGAAAAAUAGCAACAUUUUUGUGAUCUUAUUUCAUCUCUAAAUCAGUACCACAAUCAUACAAUAUCAUAGCCAAAUGUGGCAGGUGUUACC